GCCCGCUUCCACGGCCGUUGACACGCUCGGGGCUGACUUUUUGGUAGCGGUGACAUUCCAAUCGAGCCCUGGGAUAGUCUGUUCGCCCCGAAAUAGCUUGAGCGCUAGCCUCAAGGUGAGAGAUACGGAGGUAGGGCACUGAAUGUCCUAGGGGGUAUUGCACCUACCGAAGACUAUCAAACUCCGCAGGCCGUCAUCUUAUACUUGGGAGUCAGACUGUGGGUGAUAAGAUUCAUAGCCGAAAGGGCAACAGCCCAGAUCGUCAGCUAAGGUCCCUAAAUGUAAGUUAGGUGGUGUAGGAUGUGGGAUUGCACAUACAACCAGGAUGUUGUCUUAGAAGCAGCCACUCAUUAAUAGAGUGCGUAAUAGCUCACUGGUCGAGUGAUCAUUCGCCGAAUAUUUCCUGGCCUAAAACUUACUACAGAAGCUACGGCAUCAGUAAUGAUGGGUAGGGGAGCUUCCCAUA
rnacentral:rRNA from 1 species